rnacentral:rRNA from 1 species
UAGCAUGGGAGUCAGUCUAUGGGUGCUAAGGUCCAUAGACGAGAGGGAAACAACCCAGAUCGCAAUCUAAGGUCCCCAAAUUUAGACUAAGUGGUUAAGGACGUGAGUUUUCAUAGACAGCCAGGAGGUAGGCUUAGAAGCAGCCAUCCUUUAAAGAUAGAGUAACAUCUCACUGGUCGAUGAGAAUUUGCACCGAAAAUGAAUCGGGGCUAAGUCUAGUACCGAAGAUGCGGAUUGUAUGUUUACAUACAGUGGUAGGGGAGCGUUCUUAAUGGAAUGAAGCAUUACCGUAAGGAGAUGUGGACUAUUAAGAAGUGAGAAUCCUGGCAUGAGUAGCGAUAAAAGUGGUGAGAAUCCACUUCACCGUAAGCGUAAGGGUUCCUGGGCAAGGCUCGUCCUCCCAGGGUUAGUCGGGACCUAAGGCGAGGCCGAAAGGCGUAGUCGAUGGAAAACAGGUUAAUAUUCCUGUACCACCUGUUAGGAGUGAUGGGGUGACGGAGAAGGAUAGAUCAUCCGUGUUUUGGAUUACACGGUUCAAGCUCGUAGGAUUAAGAAAUUGGCAAAUCCGUUUCUUUUAUAGUCUGAGAAGUGAGUACGAGAGGCCCUAGGCCUCAUAAAGUGAUUGAUUCCAUGCUUCCUAGAAAAACCUCUAAAUUUUGAUUAACAGGUGCUCGUACUGUAAACGGACACACGUACGCGGGUAGAGUAUACCAAGGUGUUUGAGAUAAUUAUGGCCAAGGAACUCGGCAAAAUAGCUCCGUAACUUCGGGAUAAGGAGUGCCUAUGUUAGGUGAAGGAUCUUGCAUCUGGAGCUGAGAUAGGUGACACUGAAAUGAUGGAAGCGACUGUUUACCAAAAACACAGGCCUGUGCUAACCCGCAAGGGGAUGUAUACGGGCUGACGCCUGCCCGGUGCUGGACGGUUAAGGGGAUGGGUUAUCCUUCGGGAGAAGCUUAGAACCGAAGCCCCAGUAAACGGCGGCCGUAACUAUAACGGUCCUAAGGUAGCGAAAUUCCUUGUCGUCUAAUUAGCGACCCGCAUGAAUGGCGUAACGACUUCUGUACUGUCUCGGCCAUAAUCUCAGCGAAAUUGUAGUGCUGGUGAAGAUGCCAGCUUCCCGUUGUGGGACGGAAAGACCCCGUGCACCUUUACUAUAACCUAGCACUGGAUUUUGAUGUUAAAUGCGUAGGAUAGGUGGGAGACUAUGAAAGUUCAAUUUUGGUUGGGCUGGAGUCGUUGGUGAAAUACCACCCUUUUGAUGUUAGGAUUCUAACUUUAAUCCGUUAUCCGGAUUGAGGACAAUGUUAGGCGGGUAGUUUGACUGGGGCGGUUGACUCCUAAAGAGUAACGGAGUCGCUCAAAGGUUCUCUCAGCCUGAUUGGAAACCAGGCGUCGAGUGUAAUGGCACAAGAGAGCUUGACUGUGAGAUUGACAAAUCGAGCAGGUACGAAAGUAGGACAUAGUGACCCGGUGGCUUCCAAGUGGGAGGGCCAUCGAUCAUCGGAUAAAAGGUACGCCGGGGAUAACAGAUUAAUCGCGCCCAAGAGUUCACAUCGACGGCGCGGAUUGAUACCUCGAUGUCGGCUCAUCGCAUCCCGGGGCUGUAGAAGGUCCCAAGGGUUGAGCUGUUCGCUCAUUAAAGCGGUACGCGAGCUGGGUUCAGAACGUCGUGAGACAGUUCGGUCCCUAUCUACAACGGGCGAAGGAGAAUUGAGAGGGGUUGCUCAUAGUACGAGAGGACCUGAGUGAACAAACCUCUAGUGUACCAGUUGUGGUGCCAACUGCAUUGCUGGGUAGCUACGUUUGGAAAGGAUAACCGCUGAAAGCAUCUUAAGUGGGAAACCUGCCUCGAGAUUAAUUCUCCCGAACCAUUAGGUUCCUUAAGACCACUCGAAGACUACGAGUUUGAUAGGCACAGUGUGUAAGUUUCGUAAGAAAUUCAGCUAAUGUGUACUAAUCGGUCGUGAGCCUUAAUU